CUCAGCUCGCAGGGCUUGUCUGUGCAAGGCAGCAAGCUGCUGAGACACAAACGUGGUCCUGCACCCGGCCACUCAUCUGUUGUUUUCCAAAGUGAUACUAGAAGCUCUGAUAAAGACUCCAUGGCAUGAAACCUAUCCCAUGGAGGCCAAGAGAUUUGACCCAUACGGUAGGAUUUGUCUUGUUUUGGAUUUUUCUAUUUUAGGAUUGUUCUUUUGCUGGACGUUCUGUACCAGAGGCCAGAGAGAAAACAAAAGUUGGACAUGGUCAAAUUCAUGGAAAAAAUGAGCUUCACAGUACUUGAGAGAUUGUGUGGAACCCUAAUCAUGGUGUCAGAUGGUGGGACAAGUGUGGUGGACCAUCCAGGGUCUCAAUAGGGUGCGGGAGAGUUCAGACUCACGCUGGGAAACCUGUGCUCGGAAGAGGAUGACGAAGACACAGGGAAGUGGCAGGGCAUCAACAACCCCCAGGGUGCCUGGGGACAAGGGCUAUUCACGGGAACUAGUGACAUGCCGAGAGAAGGUGUGGCUGAUCCACUGCCCUGCUCCUCUGUCCAUACACGCCUGCGCGAACCUGGUAUGCAGCGACGGCACUGUGUGUUCUCGGUGGCUGCUUUCAGGAACCCGGAGCUGCUGUCAUGCAUGUUUUGGCGGAUAAGGAUCUCACCACUCCCAUGCAGAGAGUGCAGCCACCGUGCUUCAGGAGGAGCAGGGCUGUGACUCCUCGCUCUCGAUCUAAGUCACUUGCUUAGUCACUGCCUCAGUUUCCCCGCUCUAAAAUGGGGUUAGUAAUACAUCCCUGAGAUCAUGUGUUUGUCAGCUGUGGAUUUACUAUACAGCUAUAAAAGAAAAUGUAUCUUACUGAAGCGAGAUUACAAGGCGUAUCAGAGCCUGAAAAGUCUAUAUUGAAAUGUUUGUUUUAUUAUUUGUUGCAUUGUAGUAACUGAAAAUACUGUUUUAAAGGAGUGUAUGCAGGCAUCAUAUCUACAUGUGUAUUACUCAUACACACACAAAUGUGCACAGUUUUUACUUAUCUUUAAGCCCAACUCUAAUAGAAAAUGCAUUUGUUUUUCUACUUUCAUUUAAUCCUAUACAUUGCCCGCUUGAAAAGCAGCAGGUUGCUCAGAAAUUUUACUGCCCUCCGUGGGGUUACCCAGCUAACUCCAAGCUGGCUCCCAGGGCUCUGUGACCACAUGAGCACAGCAGGACAGGUAUGUUGCAGCUGACACACACUGCCCAGAUAUCUCCAUCACCUCUGGCUCCCAUGCUGUGCCUGUCUGAGAAGCCCCUGGCCCUGAACAUGACCAUUGCACCACUGACGGUGUGCUUGCUUGCAAUUAGAUCUGUAUUUCAUGUAUUGAUGUGCAGCAUCGGAGCAUCCCUCUUGCUCAAGGCCCUCUGCUACACUGUGUGUUAGAUAACGUGGCAGCAAAGACAGGACACACUUUUUCCUGCUCAUGGGACUGCAGCCUCGCUGUGGUGUUGUUGCAAGAAUGAUUUUGUGGUUGUGCGACUGAAAACCAGCUAUGAUCCUCCCAAGCAUGGCAGUAGUAUCUAUCACUCUCUGUAAGUACAUCCAUAACAGAAAUGAGACCAUAAUGGCUUGCCUUUGACAGGGAGCACAGACCGCCUUGUAUUAAUGGAGUAAUAAAAGCAGUCGACCUGGAAUGCACUCAUCUCAUUGCUAGGAGCAUGUAGACCAGGUGAUAAGGCUGUUGUUGCCUUAGGGAAGUUGUGCUGCAUUGAUGCCACGCAGUUUAAAAGCCCUACAAAACCAAGCUCUGAUAAUUAUUAGGACACCCCAAUGCUUUUGUUAGUGUCAAAAUACUGCAAAUGUUAGAUUAGCUGACAGAAAAAGAUACAGUUUGUGUAUAUACUGCAGCCUACAGAUCCAUUUGAAAGCUAUACUGAAUCAUGUCAGCCUGGUUUUAGGCUAUACAAAGACAUCUUGGGAUAUUUUGAGUGAGCUGAUUUCCAAAGAUGAGGGGACAUCUGUCAUGCUAAGCUAGGAACACAUUUUAUAAUGAGAAACUGCUACAGACUUUGCUUCAUGAAGAUGUGGAUUUGUUUUAAAUAAAGACGAUUAUAUAUUU